rnacentral:rRNA from 1 species
UACGUAGGUGGCAAGCGUUGUCCGGAUUUAUUGGGCGUAAAGGGAGCGCAGGUGGUGAUUUAAGUCUGAUGUGAAAGCCCACGGCUCAACCGUGGAAGGUCAUUGGAAACUGGAUCACUUGAGUGCAGAAGAGGAAAGUGGAAUUCCAUGUGUAGCGGUGAAAUGCGUAGAUAUAUGGAGGAACACCAGUGGCGAAGUCGACUUUCUGGUCUGUAACUGACACUGAGGCUCGAAAGCGUGGGGAGCAAACAGGAUUAGA